rnacentral:rRNA from 1 species
GAUGAACGCUAGCGACAGGCUUAACACAUGCAAGUCGAGGGGCAGCGGGGUAGUGCUUGCACUACUGCCGGCGACCGGCGCACGGGUGAGUAACACGUAUGGAACCUGCCCGCAGCAGGGGGAUAAGCGGAAGAAAUUCCGUCUAAUACCGCGUAAGAACGUUGGGAGGCAUCUCCCGAUGUUUAAAGAUUUAUCGGCUGCGGAUGGCCAUGCGGCGCAUUAGCUAGUCGGCAGGGUAACGGCCCACCGAGGCGACGAUGCGUAGGGGUUCUGAGAGGAAGGUCCCCCACACUGGUACUGAGACACGGACCAGACUCCUACGGGAGGCAGCAGUGAGGAAUAUUGGUCAAUGGCCGAGAGGCUGAACCAGCCAAGUCGCGUGAGGGAAGACGGCCCUACGGGUUGUAAACCUCUUUUGUCGGGGAGCAAAGCGAACCACGUGUGGUUCAUUGAGAGUACCCGAAGAAAAAGCAUCGGCUAACUCCGUGCCAGCAGCCGCGGUAAUACGGAGGAUGCGAGCGUUAUCCGGAUUUAUUGGGUUUAAAGGGUGCGCAGGCGGAGGUGCAAGUCAGCGGUCAAAUUGCGGGGCUCAACCCCCGUACUGCCGUUGAAACUGCAUCCCUUGAGUGCGCGAAAAAUAUGCGGAAUGCUUGGUGUAACGGUGAAAUGCAUAAAUAUCACGCGAAACUCCGAUUGCGAAGGCAGCAUACCGGCGCGCAACUGACGUUCAUGCACGAAAGCGUGGGUAUCGAACAGGAUUAGAUUACCCUGGUAGUCCACGCAGUAAACGAUGAACACUAACUGUUCGGCCAGAAUGAUGGCUGAGUGGUACAGCGAAAGCGUUAAGUGUUCCACCUGGGGAGUACGCCGGCAACGGUGAAACUCAAAGGAAUUGACGGGGGCCCGCACAAGCGGAGGAACAUGUGGUUUAAUUCGAUGAUACGCGAGGAACCUUACCCGGGCUCAAACGACACAGGAAUACUUUUGAAAGGAGGUAGCCCUACGGGGUCUGUGUCGAGGUGCUGCAUGGUUGUCGUCAGCUCGUGCCGUGAGGUGUCGGCUUAAGUGCCAUAACGAGCGCAACCCCUAUCGCCAGUUACCAUCAAGUAAAGUUGGGGACUCUGGCGAGACUGCCGGCGCAAGCUGAGAGGAAGGCGGGGAUGACGUCAAAUCAGCACGGCCCUUACGUCCGGGGCGACACACGUGUUACAAUGGCAGGUACAGAGAGAAGCCAGGUGGUGACACCGAGCGGAACUCGAAAGCCUGUCUCAGUUCGGAUCGGAGUCUGCAACCCGACUCCGUGAAGCUGGAUUCGCUAGUAAUCGCGCAUCAGCCAUGGCGCGGUGAAUACG